rnacentral:rRNA from 1 species
CCUACGGGGGGCAGCAGUGGGGGAUAUUGCACAAUGGGGGAAACCCUGAUGCAGCGACGCCGCGUGGGCGAAGAAGUAUUUCGGUAUGUAAAGCCCUAUCAGCAGGAAAGAAGAAAUGACGGUACCUGAGUAAGAAGCACCGGCUAAAUACGUGCCAGCAGCCGCGGUAAUACGUAUGGUGCAAGCGUUAUCCGGAUUUACUGGGUGUAAAGGGAGCGCAGGCGGCACGGCAAGCCUGAUGUGAAAGCCCGCGGCCCAACCGCGGGACUGCAUUGGGAACUACCGGGCUGGAGUGCCGGAGAGGUAGGCGGAAUUCCUAGUGUAGCGGUGAAAUGCGUAGAUAUUAGGAGGAACACCAGUGGCGAAGGCGGCUUACUGGACUGUAACUGACGUUGAGGCUCGAAAGCGUGGGGAGCAAACAGGAUUAGAUACCCUUGUAGUC